rnacentral:misc_RNA from 1 species
GCCUUGUGGAGUUAUCAUCAUUUGCAAAAUCACAGCCCGUUGAUGCCCUCUCUCCUCUUGAUUUGGAAGAAGCCGGAAGUGUCCUAACUCCUAAACAUUUCACUACAAUGUGGCCCCUCGCUUCUGUAAAUGGCUCAAAUGCAAAUUUGCUGGGUUUUGAGAAAUUGCUGGCAUCUGUGUUGGGUCCCAAGGCAAAUAAGAA